GUCAGGUCUGAGCAUCUGUACUUUUAAGUUGUUUAUUAACCUUCCUUGAUCUAUGAUUUUGUUUAUUCCUUUUUUCACAUUGCCAUUGGUACUAUUUUAUGCAUAAAUUUCAUGCAAAUAUAGUUGGUUUUAGAGAAUGUCAUAUGCAUUCUUUAUGAAGUUUUGAUUUUUUUUGCUUAUUAUUGUCAAAUAAGCAUCAUCUAAAAAUCAGGAGACGCGGAUCCUUAUACCUAGUCUCAUGUCUGCUUUUAUAUGGUGCUGAGUCUAUAAUGUGGUGUCCUCUCUCUCUCUCUCUCUCUCUCUCUCUCUCUCUCUCUCUGUGUUUAUAUAUUAGAUGACUUCAUAUUGCCUCUAAUGAUGAUGAUUGAAAAAUAACUUUCGUUCUUCCGAGAUGCACCAUGCGGAAAAAUUUGGAGACCUGAACUGAAGAGGCUUGUUUUUGUGUUUACAGCAUACAUGUACUAUAUACUUUGUCUAUAAUUGAAAAUAUUUUAUCUUUUUUGGUGGGUUUAAGUUUUUUUUUGCUUGUUAUUUUCAAGUAAGAAUCAACUAACAAUCAGGGGAUGUAGCUCUUUUUAAAUUAUAACAAGUUUCAUAUCUGCUCAUGGAUGGUGCUAAAUCUAUCCAUCUUGGGCUAGCAGUGUCCUGUUCUUUGUCUCUCUGCUUUAUCAUUUGUAUAUUAAAUGACUUUAUUUUGCCUCUGAUGAUGAUCAAUAAAUAACUUUCGUUCUUCCGAGAUGCUCCAUGCGGAAAAAAUUUGGAGACCUGAACUGAAGAGGAUUUUUUUUUGGCUGUUGUUGUGUAUUUACACUAUAUAUAUGUAUAUACAAUUAUGUCUUUGAAUACAUACUGUACUUGAACAUAUUUCGUGUCCUUUUUGCGUAUGUUGUUUAGACUAUUAAGGUUCUUUAGAGGUAUUUUAUAUUUUUAAUGGAAUAUUCGAUAUUUUUAAUUAACAACUUCAAAAGUAGUGUAGUUAAACUGAUCGGGUGUCAAUUUGGUUUGUUAAAGUUUUAGCAUGGGGUCACAAGCUUGUGUCCACCAUUUGUUACUUUGAGUGUUAGGGUUCGAUUGACAAAUAAUAUCCAGUAAAGUUCACAGUGAAGAGUUCUCUUCUCAUUAGUGCAAGGUAGAUUACUUUAUAGACUUUUUUGCAAUAGUAUUUGCUACAUUGAAAUUAUUGUCUUACACCCUCAUAGUCAGACUUCAACUUUUGGAAACCUGAAUUUGUGGACUUAACCUUUAUAUCGACAGCAGCAAGUUGCAUAAAAGAUCUUCUUUUGCUUCUAAUGAUAUUUCUGAUGAAACUUUCAUUUUCCUGAGCUUCUUAGUGCUGAAAAUCUGGAUAUCCGAGCUGAUUAGUCUGUUCUUAUAAUGAGUAUCAAAGAUCAUACUCACUGAGGAAGCUCCUUGACCAUGUGAGAGCACUUGAUAGACAUUGCAACAUGGUUCUCGAAAAAUGGCAGGGAGAUGUGGACUGAGGUAGCAAAAACUGGAAAAGGCAAGAAAAAGGCUCAACCAGUUAACAAAGAUAGAUUCAUUAGUAAGAUGUAUGGUGGCAUUGGCCGCUAUGAAGAUAUGCAGAAAUCGAUGCUUAAAAUCGUAGUGCUUGGUUGGGAAUUUAACCACCCUUUUUAGAACAACUUUCCGGUGGUAUACUUUGUACAUCCCCUCUGACCAAAAAAAACAAAGUCAGUUUGAAUUGGAAUGGCCGCUUUUGCGGCUCUAUUCUAUCAGAAGGAUUAGUUUUGAGACAAUUUAAGCACUGUUGUUGU